rnacentral:tRNA from 1 species
CCUUCACGUAGACCUGGAAGGUCUGCUUCUUUUUAAGGAGCCGAUGAAGCUUCGCCUGCUUCGUGAAGAGC